UACGUAGGGUGCAAGCGUUGUCCGGAAUUAUUGGGCGUAAAGAGCUCGUAGGCGGUCUGUCGCGUCUGCUGUGAAAACUCAGGGCUUAACCCUGAGCUUGCAGUGGGUACGGGCAGACUAGAGUGCGGUAGGGGGGACUGGAAUUCCUGGUGUAGCGGUGGAAUGCGCAGAUAUCAGGAGGAACACCGGUGGCGAAGGCGGAUCUCUGGGCCAUUACUGACGCUGAGGAGCGAAAGCGUGGGGAGCGAACAGG
rnacentral:rRNA from 1 species